GUGGGGAAUUUUGGACAAUGGGCGAAAGCCUGAUCCAGCCAUGCCGCGUGCAGGAUGAAGGCCUUCGGGUUGUAAACUGCUUUUGUACGGAACGAAAAGACUCCUUCUAAUAAAGGGGGUCCAUGACGGUACCGUAAGAAUAAGCACCGGCUAACUACGUGCCAGCAGCCGCGGUAAUACGUAGGGUGCAAGCGUUAAUCGGAAGUACUGGGCGUAAAGCGUGCGCAGGCGGUUAUAUAAGACAGAUGUGAAAUUCCCGGGCUCAACCUGGGAACUGCAUUUGUGACUGUAUAGCUAGAGUACGGUAGAGGGGGAUGGAAUUCCGCGUGUAGCAGUGAAAUGCGUAGAUAUGCGGAGGAACACCGAUGGCGAAGGCAAUCCCCUGGACCUGUACUGACGCUCAUGCACGAAAGCGUGGGGAGCAAACAGGAUUAGAAACCCGUGUAGUCC
rnacentral:rRNA from 1 species